GCGGUGCUGGUGGCGGACGGCUGCGACGACCCUGGGGUGGUCGCCGACCGGCUGCGGGUGGCGCUGCGGGAUCCCUUUCCCGUGCAUGGCA
rnacentral:tRNA from 1 species